rnacentral:lncRNA from 1 species
UACACAGCAGGCAUGAAGUAAAUAUUUGCUGAUUUAGUAGGUGUUUUCGAUCCGAACAGUUUUAUUUUUUCACAACUUCAUUACAUUUAUUCAAAAAGUUUACAGAAUACUUUUUGGAAUUCUUUCAAGGUUUCUUUGCACUGCUCUGGACAAAUGAUUAGAAGGCCUAGUUGCAGGCUAUCACUACUGCAGCUGAGAACUCAAGCACUGUGUGGAACUGAAGUGAUGUUACUGGAGCUACAGUGUGCUGUACUCGCCCUGCUGCCUGUGCCAGUGACUUACAUGCUUGACUCAGAGUACGAGAGUGUCAAGAGAUCAGGAAGUUUGAGAACUGCCACAUCAGGGCAAAGUAAACUGAAGCUUGAAAAGGCUCUUGUGGGAAACAAGAAACAUUUCUAGCACACUUUUGGACACUAUGUGGAAGGAAAGAAAACUGGCUUUUCAUUACAUUCUCCUGCUGUUCGUAAACACAGAAUGAGAGAGAUACAGAACACUCUACCUCUCCUUGCAGGAAACACAUGCAGCAUUACUAUUUUUGCAAAAGAAAAAGGAGAAACAGAGGAGAAGGGUAAUCACUACUUCUAUAAUAGUAUCUACUGUGGUGGUUUAAGUAUGAAAUCCCCCCCAAAGGCUUGUUUGUUGAAGACUUGAUCCCAAUGCAGGAAUGUGCAGAGGGGCUUAUUGGGCAGUGAUUGUAUCAUGAGAAAUCCAGUCUUAUCAAUAGAUUAAUCCAUUUAGAGAUUCAGAAUUGAAUAGACUAUCGGGAGCUAGUGGAGACCACAAUAAAUGGGGUCCAUUUGGGGAAGCAAAUCACUGGGGGUAUUCUCUGGACUGACUCUCUCUCUCUCUCUUUCUCCCUCUCUCUCCCCCUUUUAUGCCACCAUGAGCUUUGCUCCACCACAUCCAGCUCAUCACACUCCUAUGUCAAUGGCGCUAGGCAACCAGGAACUGAAACCUCUAAAAUCAUGAGCCAAAAUAAAUCUUUCUUCCUUCAAAUUGAUUUUCUCAAGUAUUUUGUCACAGUGACAGAAAUCUAACACACCUACAAUGUGAAUAAACCCCAUUUUCACAUACAACAAA